AUUGAUUGGACAAAGGUGACCGCGAGUGGUUCUGGGACUUGGCUACGGGAACCAUGAAGGAGCGUUCCUGGCCAGCUGUUGGGAACUGCUCCUCUGCCCUGAGAUGGCUGGGCCGCUACUACUGCUUCCAGGGUAACCAAUUCCUGCGCUUCGACCCUGUCAGGGGAGAGGUGCCUCCCAGGUACCCGCGGGAUGUCCGAGACUACUUCAUGCCCUGCCCUGGCAGAGGCCAUGGACACAGGAAUGGGACUGGCCAUGGGAACGGUACCCACCAUGGCCCUGAGUACAUGCGCUGUAGCCCACAUCUAGUCUUGUCUGCACUGACGUCUGACAACCAUGGUGCCACCUAUGCCUUCAGUGCCUCUUCUCUGCCUGGGCUUCUGCCAGCAGCCCUAGAGCAACCUAUGGUAUUCCACAGGGACCCACUACUGGCGUCUGGACACCAGCCGGGAUGGCUGGCAUAGCUGGCCCAUUGCUCAUCAGUGG
rnacentral:sRNA from 1 species